UCCAGGUGGCACCGCCCGGCGGGGACUUCAGGUGACAGAAAUCGAGCGCCCCAUUCAUUAAGGCCCGCUUGUAAACAGACUGCACACGCAGGUAAAACUGUUUGGAAAAGAAAGUGUUGUCAAAAAAGUGUAUAAGUAACGGAUAGCUUUAUAAAGGACAAUAUCGUGAACAAGAACUUCUAAAAGUGAAGAAAUCGCAUCCUGCAUCGACGUUUACUACAGGACGAGGAGGAGGAGGGGCAGACCAGGGACAGGAGCGCUGUGCACGAUUGUCAUGGCAACAGCGGUGGGAAGACAAGAUGGAGGACUCAAAGCUGGCCUGGCCUCCUUUACAGGAGAAGCUGUUCAACGACCAUGGAGAAAUUAGAGAAACCAUUUCUUGGGAAAUCAAGAAACCAAAAUGUGGCUCCGUUCGAUUCUGAUGUUGUGUUCUGCCGUCGCAGUGAGCAUUAAGGUAAC